AUUGAACGCUGGCGGCAGGCCUAACACAUGCAAGUCGAGCGGAUGAAGGGAGCUUGCUCCUGGAUUCAGCGGCGGACGGGUGAGUAAUGUCUAGGAAUCUGCCUGGUAGUGGGGGAUAACGUCCGGAAACGGGCGCUAAUACCGCAUACGUCCUGAGGGAGAAAGUGGGGGAUCUUCGGACCUCACGCUAUCAGAUGAGCAUAGGUCGGAUUAGCUAGCUGGUGGGGUAAAGGCCUACCAAGGCGACGAUCCGUAACUGGUCUGAGAGGAUGAUCAGUCACACUGGAACUGAGACACGGUCCAGACUCCUACGGGAGGAAGCAGUGGGGAAUAUUGGGCGAUGGGCGAGAGCCUGAUCCAGCCAUGCCGGGUGUGUGAAGAAGGUCUUAGGAUUGGAAAGCACUUUAAGUUGGGAGGAAGGACAGUAAGUUAAUACCUUGCUGUUUUGACGGUACCAACAGAAUAAGCACCGGCUAACUUCGUG
rnacentral:rRNA from 1 species